rnacentral:lncRNA from 1 species
AGCCAAAUAUAUGCUGAGAUUUUGAAGUGAAAAUACUCUCCCAAAGUUUAUUCAAGCACCCGCCAUAUUUACUUAAUUUUUAAAACUUUCGAUUCUUCAUAUACUUCGUUAUAUACACAAGGUUUUAAACCCCGAGGUUUCGUACCACCCAACCAAGCCACAUCUCGCUUAGCUCAUUCUUAUACCACUCUUUUGUCCUCCCGAAGGGCUGUCUAAAGUUCGUGUGCAAAGCCAAAAUCCGGUCGAACCUCCGACGAAUUUUUUCGGCAAACUUUUUGUAAGUGGUUAUUUUAGCUUCGUUUUUAUUCAUGUCUUAACCGAGCAUUUUUGACAAAGGGCUUUUGAACAAAAAUAUUAUCUUCAUCUUUAAAGCUCUCUUUGGUCACAAAACGCACGAGUUAGCCACUCGUUAUAUAUUUGUGCGUGUGUUUUGUCCCGGAACCUAACUCGUAUCCUUUGAGAUUUCCUCACCAAAUUUGGAGGGAUCUUUGCCUUCGCACCAAAAGCCGGAUAUAAGGCCAAAGGUGAUAAGUUAGUUAUUGUUGUGCUUAUAAUCUGUGCUUAACUGUUAUAUCCCUACGCCCAACAUACCCUUCUUGUUUAGUGAGACACCCAUUUUUCAGCCCUGUGCUUGGUAGGGAUAUCAUUAAGAUAAGUUACGUGGUUCCCAAUCCCGUGUGUGUGAGUGUGAUUAUCGACCGCGUCAUAUAUCUAUAAAUCACUCAACAUUAAUUAAUAUAACCCUCGUAGCGUGCUCGUACGUGGUGUGCUCAAGUUAUUAAAAUCAAUACUAUUAAAAUCAACUAUUUAUAUUUUCCGCGCGAUAUAAAUUGUUGGACUAAUCAUUGUUACUACUGUUAUAAUCGACGAACCUUUAUAAUUGACUGUGAUUAGUGGAUUGAUAUUGCGGACCAAAGUCUUAUUAAACCAAAGGACAUAUUCGUAGAUAUUGUAUUCUAACUUUUGCAGUGAGGUGAAGUGAAGUGAGGUGAUCUUCGUUCUAAGACCCAAGUCCUUGACGUAUUGACCGGGAGUUAAUAGUCAUUGCACCGUGAAGAAGUGAAAAGACCCGAGAUCUAAUACCUAAGACCCGAGACCGGCAAAAGACUUAGAAGUACAAAGACUACACAAGGUUCUACAUCGACUUUGAGGAAGUAACGGGGAGUUACGUUCCAAGACAAGCUUUGUAGGUGUUUUUACAUUUAUAGUGAGGAGGUAACGGGGAGUUACGCUCCAAGAUAUAUAUUUGUAAAGGCUUCUCCGCCUACUUUAAAAGAGUAUCUUUUUAGUAGAGAAAAUCUCGAGUCCGGGGAGGAGAUCGGGGACUGUACUAGGGGUGAGUGGACUCCAUCGGUUGAAUUAGCCACCGCGAACCAGGAUAAAAUCCCUCGUGUGGUAUUUUUCGUUCUUUGCUCUUUGCUUCCGCAUUUACAACUGCCAUUACUCUAGAUACAAGCUUUUAAAAAGGGGAUAAACUUUUUAAAACGCCAUAAAGUUUUUAAAUUGGUGAUUAAGCUAUUCAACCCCCCCUUCCCCUUCUAGCUUAAUUAUGCUUGAAUAAGGACCUAACAUAGUUAAAAAUGGUAAUUAAAAAUUGGGUUUUUAGUUUUUAGGCUAAUUUGGUUUGUAUCAGAGUAGAUCUCUCUAUCUCUUUCUAUAUAUAUAUAUAUAUAUAUGAGAACUUUCUUAAAAUGAGAACCGUGAGAAUUUUUUUAAUUUAUCAAAAUCUCAUUUAUUUGAAGGGCCCCGCCAGGGGCACCUUCACAAAGAAUGUAUAUCAUUAAGGUCUCCACCUAGCUAGCCAAAAAAAAUAAAUAAAAAAUCACUGAUGACGUGGCAGUGGACUUUUUUGUUUGAUUUUUUUUUUUGACUAGCUAGGGAGAGACUAGUUUUAUAUACAUUUUUUAUAUUGGGUUCCCACUAGUUUGAUGUUUAGAUUAGCCAAAAUAUGAUAAAUUAAGGAAGUUCUCACGGUUCUCAUUUUAAGAAGUUCUCGCUGGAGUAACCCUCUAUAUAUAUAUAUAUAUAUAUAUAUAUAUAUAUAUAUAUAUAU